UUUCUGAUGGCAGCCAUUCUUUUGGACACGAGUACUGCAAGCCUCGGUCUGCUUCAAGAUCUUCAGAGGACAGCUGUUCCCUGGAAGGCUCUCCCACAGGCCCGUGUCGUGAUCACACAUGCAGUUCCACAAUUCAGCCAGCAGGGAGAGGUCACCGGCUCGGUAGGCUCCAGGCCCAGCAUGGAGCCCAACGUGGGGCUCAAGACCC